rnacentral:rRNA from 1 species
UUCCAGACUCCUACGGGAGGCAGCAGUGGGGAAUAUUGGGCAAUGGAGGCAACUCUGACCCAGCAAUGCCGCGUGAGUGAUGAAGGUAAUUUUAUUGUAAAGCUCUUUUCUUUGGAACGAGUAAAUGACGGUACCAAAGGAAUAAGCCCCGGCUAACUACGUGCCAGCAGCCGCGGUAAUACGUAGGGGGCAAGCGUUGUUCGGAAUGACUGGGCGUAAAGGGUGAGUAGGCGGCAUGGUAAGCCAGAUGUGAAAGCCUUGGGCUUAACCCGAGGAUUGCAUUUGGAACUAUCAAGCUAGAGUACAGGAGAGGAAAGCGGAAUUCCUAGUGUAGCGGUGAAAUGCGUAGAUAUUAGGAAGAACACCAGUGGCGAAGGCGGCUCUCUGGACUGAAACUGACGCUGAGGCACGAAAGCGUGGGGAGCGAACAGGAUUAGAUACCCCUGUAAUC